CACGUAGGGCGCAAGCGUUGUCCGGAAUUAUUGGGCGUAAAGAGCUUGUAGGCGGUUUGUCGCGUCUGCUGUGAAAAUCCGGGGCUCAACCCCGGACUUGCAGUGGGUACGGGCAGACUAGAGUGUGGUAGGGGAGACUGGAAUUCCUGGUGUAGCGGUGAAAUGCGCAGAUAUCAGGAAGAACACCAAUGGCGAAAGCAGCUCUCUGGGACGGUACUGACGCUGAGACGCGAAAGCGUGGGGAGCGAACAGG
rnacentral:rRNA from 1 species